CCCUAAGCAGCCAAUUUAAAAAAAAAAAUCUAAAGCAGAAAGAGCUCUGAGCAUGGCUGAGUUUUAUAAAGCAUGUUGAUAGAGCUAAAAGAGUGUAACCAUUCCCUAAAGUGAGUAUGCCUAAUGGUCACUGGAUUUGGAACAGCUGGAAAAGUGUGUGGUGCUCGCCUGUAAUCCCAGCACCUGGGAGGCAGAAGCAGGCUGGCCUCGAACUCAGAAAUCUGCCUGCCCCUGCCUCCCAAGUGCUGGGAUUAAAGGUGUGCACCACCACUGCCUGGCCUGCUUCAACCUUCUAAUUUUGAAAUUACAGGCAUGAACUGCACUGCUAUGCCAGGUCCACACAAGGGUAUUUUGUUAUGCUUUUUGUUUAUGUUUUUGGGUUAUAU
rnacentral:lncRNA from 1 species